AAAUUGAAGAGUUUGAUCAUGGCUCAGAUUGAACGCUGGCGGCAGGCCUAACACAUGCAAGUCGAGCGGUAGCACAGGGAGCUUGCUCCUGGGUGACGAGCGGCGGACGGGUGAGUAAUGUCUGGGAAACUGCCUGAUGGAGGGGGAUAACUACUGGAAACGGUAGCUAA
rnacentral:rRNA from 1 species